GACGAACGCUGGCGGCGUGCUUAACACAUGCAAGUCGAACGGGUCUGCCCUGUUUUUUGCGGGGUGGGUCAGUGGCGAACGGGUGAGUAACACGUGAGUAACCUGCCCCUCACUUCUGGAUAACCGCUUGAAAGGGUGGCUAAUACGGGGUGUUCUGGCUGUGCCGCAUGGUGUGGCUGGGAAAGAUUCACUUUUGUGGUGUUUUGGUGGGGGAUGGGCUCGCGGCCUAUCAGCUUGUUGGUGGGGUGAUGGCCUGCCAGGGCUUUGACGGGUAGCCGGCCUGGGAGGGUGGGCGGUCACAGUGGGACUGAGAUACGGCCCAGACUCCUGCGGGAGGCAGCAGUGGGGGGUAUUGCACAAUGGGCGGAAGGCUGAUGCAGCGACGUCGCGUGAGGGAUGGAGGCCUUCGGGUUGUGAACCUCUUUCGCCGGUGAAGAAGGUCCUGCUCUUUGUGGGGGGGUUGACGGUAGCCGGGUUAUGAAGCGCCGGCUAACUACGUG
rnacentral:rRNA from 1 species